CGCCGAGCCUGUCUUCAGGUUUAUAAGUCAAUUCUCCUUCUGUAGUUACGUUAAUGCUAAGCCCAUGUGUUACAUGUGAUCCCUGAAUUUGUGAAUCCCAGAAAAACUGGCUGUUGUGGAACAAUUUCUACAGAAAAAGAGGGCUAGAAAUGUUUUCAUUGGAUACUGAUAACGGAGCCAGCAGAUAGCUGCUUAAUGUUACUUGUUAUUCUUAAAACAAUAUAGAUAGCUUUGCAUAU
rnacentral:lncRNA from 1 species